rnacentral:rRNA from 1 species
UACAGAGGUCUCAAGCGUUGUUCGGAUUCAUUGGGCGUAAAGGGUGCGUAGGCGGCGCGGUAAGUCGGGUGUGGAAUUUCGGAGCUUAACUCCGAAACUGCAUUCGAUACUGCCGUGCUUGAGGACUGGAGAGGAGACUGGAAUUUACGGUGUAGCAGUGAAAUGCGUAGAGAUCGUAAGGAAGACCAGUGGCGAAGGCGGGUCUCUGGACAGUUCCUGACACUGAGGCACGAAGGCCAGGGGAGCAAACGGG